AGGAGCUGUGUUUUUGGGCAGAGGGCUGUGCUGGUGGGGUGCGGGUCUGGCAUUGCCAGGGCCUCAACUGAGAGAAAAGCUGAACCACGAAGGAGAGAAACAGCCGUGAUGACAGCUUUCGAAUGCCUGGAUCCCGCCACACCUGAACCCAACCCACCGCAGGACAUCUCAGUAUGCCUUGCCGUCGAGUGGUUAAGCGGUGGCAGCUGUGGACUCAGAUCAGGCCUGGCUGGCUUCCAGUCCCACAGUUUCCCCCUGGUUGUCUCUGGGCCGGUCCUGCGCCCCGGCGUCCACCUACUGGAAGGGGCUGGAGUUGCAGAUGGUGACCGCGGGGAAGUACAUGGCCUUGAAGCCCAGGGAGAGGGAGACGCUGACGUCCCAGCUCAGGCGGUUGUCCGGAUUCAGUGAGAGAUGCGAGGGAAACACUGCAUGCUGGCCGCACAGGCAAAAUGAAACCAUCUUUCCUGAAAGGCUGAUUACGACACGAACUUGGUAAUCUGGGGGUGUUGGGAAAGGAAGAAAACCCGUUAGGCCAAAGUCGCAAGCACUGACUUUUCGGCUGGAAGGCUAAGACCAGCGCGAUCACCCUGACAGGAGCCAGCGUGGGACAGAGCGUGUGGGGCAGACACCCGCCGCCAUCUUCACCCCAGCCCUAAGCCAGGCUCCGUCCUGUCACCUGCCAGCUGGAAGCAGCCCUGCUGUGCCAGUCGGGCUGGUCCUGGAUGAAAGAUGAGUAAUGGUGUCAGUGGGCUGACAUUCCUGGUGCAAAUGAGGCUUCUGUGGCCCCAAGAAAGACUUCACCUGGUUUCUUUGCUACCCAUCGGGGGACCGGAAGGACUGUCCAGGUUGUACCUGUUCAGGUUGGAGGCUGGGGGAUGGGAGCUGCAGGCCAGCCUGUGGCCCACAUGCCCAGUCGUGGGCCCCCAGGGUCUGCAUCCACAUGGAAGGGUGCCGUUUUCUAAUUCACUUGAAGGCACCAUCUGGGCUAGCAGGGGCGGUUCUGUCAAGAAUCAGUCCUGUCAAGCAACCUUUGGCUGGGCUGGGCCAUAUUUUCAAAAGAGUCUCCUGUCCCUUGGCUGGAAUGUGGGGAUGAAUUUCCUUCCAUAAGGGAAAAAAAUGCAGUAAAGAUAGAGUUUGCAGGAAGGGCUUCCCCAGGACUCCCUGGGUGCUGAGCCAAGCUUUGGGCUUGAAUCCCGCUGUGCUGUGCAACCUCGGGCAAGCCAGACAGUGUCUCUGUGCCUCCAUUCCCUCAUCUGAACACUGGGGACAAUACGACACCUACCUUGGUGGGUGUUUGGAACAAUGCCUGAUUCAUUAGCUCUUACUAGCUGUCUCAAGGGCCUAUGCAAGUAAAUAAAAAGGACGGUUUUCCAAGUACAAAAAAGAACACCGCAGCAUUUAAAAUGAACAGAACAGUUCAACAAACACCUGUAACACGACGCCAACCAGACAAAUGCCACGCAGCUCGGGUGGUGAGACGCACCUGCUAUAGGAACUCAUUUUUGAUAGUGAGAAUUAUAAAGGUCACAAAAGGAAAUGACCCAAGGAUGAGGAACCUCCGUCCGCACUCUCCUUGAACUUGGGUACAUCCUGAAGGCACAGACCGGGGGACC